AACGAACGCUGGCGGCAGGCUUAACACAUGCAAGUCGAACGCAUCCUUCGGGGUGAGUGGCAGACGGGUGAGUAACGCGUGGGAAUCUACCCAUCUCUGCGGAAUAGCUCCGGGAAACUGGAAUUAAUACCGCAUACGCCCUACGGGGGAAAGAUUUAUCGGGGAUGGAUGAGCCCGCGUUGGAUUAGCUAGUUGGUGGGGUAAAGGCCUACCAAGGCGACGAUCCAUAGCUGGUCUGAGAGGAUGAUCAGCCACAUUGGGACUGAGACACGGCCCAAACUCCUACGGGAGGCAGCAGUGGGGAAGAUUGGACAAUGGGCGCAAGCCUGAUCCAGCCAUGCCGCGUGAGUGAUGAAGGCCUUAGGGUUGUAAAGCUCUUUCACCGAUGAAGAUAAUGACGGUAGUCGGAGAAGAAGCCCCGGCUAACUUCGUGCCAGCAGCCGCCGUAACAC
rnacentral:rRNA from 1 species